UUUUUCUAAAAAUAGAAUUAUAAAUACUGUAAAACAUGACCAUUUAAUACACUGGAAACUAAUGCAAUGAAUCUCAUGUUAAUAAAUUUCAUUAUGAAAUUGCAUAGACACUCUGAUUUAGACAGAUAUUUAUAUUCUUACCUUAUUUAUUUUGUAAAAAUGAAAUUUGUAGUUUUCUAACUUAAAAUUGUUAUGGUUUAACAACGGGCAACAUCGUUCUUAUAUAAUAUUAUCUGUGCUAUAUUUAGCAGCAUAUUUUUAAACAUAAAAUUCCCCCUAUACUAGUUUAAAAUUGUUAUGAAUAGCUUAAACUAAAAUUAAGUCGGGAAAAACCAACAUGUGGAUGAACCACCGGUUACGGAUGUAAUUAAUUCUGCUCACGUUUAAAUGAAUCAGUAUGCGUAGGAGCGGAUUAAUGUUUGCGACAUUACUCAGUCUUGACCAAAAACAUGAACAAAUGAAUUUUAUAGGUAGAUAAAAUUAUUUAUGUCAUUGUUGUACAUUUGGGCGAAUCUGUCACAUUCUGAAUUAUGUUAAUUUAUGUACUACGGUAAAAGCCAAUCAGGGGGAAUUCCUUUUAUCACGUGAUACCGUCAUCUUCCUUCUUCGUCAACAUUCAAGAGUGAAUAGCACGCUUCUUUCUUUAAUUUUAUUUUGGCUAAUUUCUGGUUUUAUCUUAAGUGAUUCGGCUGAAUUUUUAUGGUAAUCUAAUACACAACAUAUUUGUUAACAGUUACACUCUGGUUUACUGCAGUACAGAUUGGAUAUACUUGUAAAUUUCGAUGUUUUCCUGUACAGGUUACAUUCUACCAAUUCAAUUCCUUAUUUAUUUCAUAUUAAUAACAAAACAUUCAGACCUCAUUUUCAGCACUUUACAGCAUUUCAAUGAUAUGAAAACCAUAUAAUGGGCAUUUAGUAUAACAUGUCUUCUUAUCAAAAAUAGAAAAAUAUUGACAUGUUAUGUUGUAUAUAAGAAAAAUAAUCUGUUCUGACAAACAUCACCGUCUAAAAAUGCCCCCAUGAAAACAGCCGUUUAGCAAUUACGCGUAGUUAGACAUUUUUCGCAAAGAAUAAAACUUAUUCCAAGAAAUUUACAAUGAAAAUGGUCUAGAUCUAUUCUCAAUACUAUAAGCAAUAAACAUAAGCCAAAAAUUUAACUGUCACCUCCUCAUGUUACUCAUUAUACCAGAUUUCAUUCAUAGCAUGGAACUACAUUUUGGACUACUUCACACGUAACACUGAGUAGUCACUUCCGGUUUGGUGUAAUCCGUCCUACACGGCGUUGGCCUGUAAACUUCGUUAAAUAAUUCAGAAUCAGGGGUGAUAUAGUACGUCAUUAACAGGUGCGCGCAUCACUUCCCGAUACGGCUUUUUUGUGUCAAAACAUCUCGAUUCGGUACAUGAAAGAUGAAAAAGGAAACAAAACUUCUAGUGUCAAUUAUGUUAAAAAGGCUUGCUGAGUGAUUGGCAUGACAGACAUAAAUGACGCAUUAUUUUCGAAAAGUUGUACGACAUAACACUGAGAAGUGGAGAACAUCCUGUAACAGAAUUGCCACAGCGUGGAUUUCUACGCUCAACUCAGAGGUCCUGUACCAUACAAGACUAUGUCGGUUGCUGUUUGAAGGGGCCACGUGUUCAUUACAGUUGCUCGGGAAAAAUGCGAAAUGACUGUAUCGCGCCAACGAAAUUUUCGUAUCAAAGGGUUUCAGAUGUGCACAGGGAAAGAACAAAAAGGACAUAAACCGAAUAAUAAUUACCACUUAGUAGAACGGGACAUCGAUUGAAUCUACACGAUUUAAUAUUGACUAAUGUUCAGAUUUUUGCUGGCAAAUUUUAACGCAUAAAACUCGUAGUGAGCUUGAACAGUGGUAGAACAAUUUUACUUGCAAUGUAAAUUAUUUUACUUUUCUUUAACUAUUUAGUUGUUGAAAAUGUUGUUGUAUAAAAGAUUACUCAAAUUGGAAAUUUUGCUGAUUUUUUUAUUCAAACCCUUACACAGUUGAAGCCGUUGUGACACCGUGUUUGAAACAUACGCUCAUACACUUCCAAGUCAUAGCAAUAUUUCAUUUCCCUUGUUAUCAGCUUAUGUUAUAUAUUUACAAAAAUCAAGGAAAGAAGAUUUGUUACAUAAACAUUGUACACACUGUUACAAGUAUAAAAAUAACCUAUCAUGAACCUUGGACGUAAUUCUUUAUAAACUCAACAUUUAAAAAAAUGAAAUUCACCUUAAGUUUUAUUAAGAUCGCAUAUCUGACAAAUUCGUUCCACAUUGUUGGUGGAUUUCAAUGAA